CUGACAGAAACUGGUUGUGAAAAAUUUAUUAAAUCUUUUACAGUUAGAAGCAGCAGUAGAACUUCUGGAACAUGGAGCCCUGCAACACAAACAGUCAGCUGGUAGCAGAUCCAAAGAACAAAUCCUGAGAGCUCAGAGACCCACCUCCAACAUGUUCAGUAUGCUUUGACUGGAACUUGGUCGCCCUUUGGAGGCAGGUAGCCUUUCGGAGGCAGGUAGCCCUUCGGAGGAAGGUAGCCCUGUGGAGGCAGGUAGCCUGGGUAGCUGAACACUGGACUGUACAGAGAGUCAGUGGGGACGUAGCGGGUCUGAGAGAAAUGGGCUCUUCCUCUCCUGUAGCGGGACCGAGAGUGGAAGUUGUAGACUGGAUCCAGACCGGACACAUCAGUGAAGAAGGGCCCAUCAGGGGUCUGGUCAGAGAUCUGGUCAGUGCUCUGGUAGCUGAACACUGGACUGUACAGAGAGUCUGUGGGGACGUAGCGGGUCUGAGAGAAAUGGGCUCUUCCUCUCCUGUAGCGGGACCGAGAGUGGAAGUUGUAGACUGGAUCCAGAUCGGACACAUCAGUGAAGAAGGGCCCAUCAGGGGUCUGGUCAGUGCUCUGGUAGCUGUAGACGCCUGGAUAACCGCCAUAGACGCCUGGAUAACCGCCAUAGACGCCUGGAUAGCCGCCAUAGACAUAUUUGACCUGCUGGUCGGGUUUGGUGGUUGUAGAGGGAACGGUCGGGUCAGGACUUGUUGCUCAAGUAUGUCUAUGGCGGCUAUCCAGGCGUCUAUGGCGGUUAUCCAGGCGUCUACAGCUACCAGAGCACUGACCAGACCUCUGACCAGACCCCUGAUGGGCCCUUCUUCACUGAUGUGUCCGAUCUGGAUCCAGUCUACAACUUCCACUCUCGGUCCCGCUACAGGAGAGGAAGAGCCCAUUUCUCUCAGACCCGCUACGUCCCCACUGACUCUCUGUACAGUCCAGUGUUCAGCUACCCAGGCUACCUGCCUCCACAGGGCUACCUUCCUCCAAAGGGUGACCAAGUUCAAGUCAAAGCCUACUGAACAUGUUGGAGGUGGGGCUCUGAGCUCAUGAAUUGUUCUAUGGAUUUGCUGCCACCUGACUGUUGCAGGUCUCCAUGUUCUAGAAGUUCUACUGCUGCUUCUAACUGUACAAGAUUUAAUAAAUGAUUUUCAGAACUAGCCUUUGUCUCAGUCUUCAUCACUUGAUCCUGAACAUGUCUGACAGCUGUGCUAAAUGAAGGCUUCUUACAGGCAGCAUUGCAUGACUAUUAGCUUUAGUCUUCAAGCAUUUAAAAGCUGCAUCUUGUCUCUGAAGGUCCCGGUAGUGAUUUAGGGAGAAGAACUGGAUCUAAACAUCUCUGUUGGGCCUGCUUCACAUUACAGCCUGCGUGUUUGAGAUUAUUUCUGCUGCUUUUUUUUUUUUUUUUUUUUUUAAAAACCUGAGGUCAAAGUUUUUCCCCAGCUUGUAUGCUUUGAAACCUGUUUGCUUAUGUAAUGUACUUCGAACAUGCCAUCAGCACUUGGUAAGGUGAAGGCCAUUCCAAAUUUGACUGGAAAGAACCCAAACUUCACUGACGCAGCCAUCUGCCUCAACUGUUAUG
ensembl:lncRNA